UUAUGGGGGGAAUUAUAGCCGUGAAACUGCGAAUGGCUCAUUAAAUCAGUUAUCGUUUAUUUGAUAAUACCUUACUACUUGGAUAACCGUGGUAAUUCUAGAGCUAAUACAUGCUAAAAAUCCCGACUUCGGAAGGGAUGUGUUUAUUAGAUAAAAAACCAAUGCCCUUCGGGGCUUCUUGGUGAUUCAUGAUAACUUUACGGAUCGCAUAGCCUUGCGCUGGCGACGGUUCAUUCAAAUUUCUGCCCUAUCAACUUUCGAUGGUAAGGUAUUGGCUUACCAUGGUUUCAACGGGUAACGGGGAAUUAGGGUUCGAUUCCGGAGAGGGAGCCUGAGAAACGGCUACCACAUCCAAGGAAGGCAGCAGGCGCGCAAAUUACCCAAUCCCGACACGGGGAGGUAGUGACAAUAAAUACUGAUACAGGGCUCUUUUGGGUCUUGUAAUUGGAAUGAGUACAAUUUAAACCUCUUAACGAGGAACAAUUGGAGGGCAAGUCUGGUGCCAGCAGCCGCGGUAAUUCCAGCUCCAAUAGCGUAUAUUAAAGUUGUUGCAGUUAAAAAGCUCGUAGUUGAAACUUGGGCCUGGCUGGCGGGUCCGCCUCACCGCGUGCACUCGUCCGGCCGGGCCUUCCUUCUGAAGAACCUCAUGCCCUUCACUGGGCGUGUUGGGGAAUCAGGACUUUUACUUUGAAAAAAUUAGAGUGUUCAAAGCAGGCCUUUGCUCGAAUACGUUAGCAUGGAAUAAUAAAAUAGGGCGUGCGUUUCUAUUUUGUUGGUUUCUAGAGACGCCGCAAUGAUUAACAGGAACAGUCGGGGGCAUCAGUAUUCAGUUGUCAGAGGUGAAAUUCUUGGAUUUACUGAAGACUAACUACUGCGAAAGCAUUUGCCAAGGAUGUUUUCAUUAAUCAGUGAACGAAAGUCAGGGGAUCGAAGACGAUCAGAUACCGUCGUAGUCUUGACCGUAAACUAUGCCGACUAGGGGAUCGGGGCCGAUGUUCUUUUUUCCUG
rnacentral:rRNA from 1 species